CUCGAAAUUUCCAUCUACAAAACUCUUCAACUUUAAUUCAAUUGAGUGAGAUGCCCAAAACCAAAUGGCUACAGUACCUUACCAUGGCUGUAAGUGUAUGUACAGUAGAUGUACGUUAGAGCUCGCCAACUGGAUUCUGUAGUUCAGUUGGUUAGAGCGCUGUACCGGAAUCGCAGAGCUGCAGGUUCGACUUGCUUUUUAAGAGACACUUAUAUAUAUUGAAGUUUCCAAACGGCUAAACACCGUUUUCAGGGUUCGAAAUUUAUAUUUUCUUUUACCCUAUAAAAGGAAUAGUAGAUGAAAUUUACUGUAAUUGUACUAAUCAAAAGAUUAACAAGCUUUCGUUGGUAAGGAUGCAACUACCUGAAAAAUAUAAGGAAACUUUCUUCUCAUAUUUGUAAUUGCAUGCCUACCAACGCAAGUUCGUUAUUAUUGGCACUACCUACACUGGCAAUUUCUAUCUUUGACAUCUUUGACAAUGCUAUCUUUCACAAUUAUGACGUAAGCCUCCACCCAGCAGACCCUUAUAACUAACAAACAUUUGAAACGUUCCCUGUUGGUGGUCAUUGGUUAAAGGUCUGACAAUAUCCUAUUCAAUCUCGCACCUAGAGAAUAGCUCUGGGUACAAGUUUGCUGAUUCCGUUCAAAAUUCAUAAAUGAUCAGCUUAUCAAAUAGACGACAAUACCGAAUGUCGCUUCUUUCGUCUAGGUUUGGGAUGGCGUCAGUAAUUGUUGCAUUUCAACAUUUCCUAAUGCUCACAAUGGGAACAAGGUAAAAUAACACCGAGCUAAGAAAUGGCACAGUCUUGAUUUGUAUAAGCUGCAUGUAGAGUUCGGUUCUGAUAUAACAUUAAUGUAACACUUACCCAAAAUGGUAAGCGUAUUAUGCAUGUGUAUUAUUCCAGUCAUAUUAGGAAAAAAUGUAAUAUACAGUCAAGGAAAACUAAUUUCCAAUUCAUCGAAUGACAUCAUAUCCUGGCGCUUUGACAGUGAAAAAGUUGAUCAAGAUGAGAUUGUUUUACUUUAAAGAUAUAUUAAUUUCUUCUCAGAAUGGCCCAAAGUCUACACACACCAAAAAUCAUGGGGAUUAGUGGUACUUUAAAUAUUUUAACACUUUCCCUUUGGUCAAAUCUUAGGUUUCCGCAGUUAGAUUCUCAAAGAAUUCAAAGGUACGAUCAUAACAAUUUGUUGACAAAAUUCAGUUUAUCGAUGUUAGCGUUCCAGCUAUCUGUUAUCCCAUUGACCAUUACCUAAUAUAAUAAAUUGAAUGAUCUUUUUUAGUACUUACUUACGAGUGGCAAAGAUUCAUUGAUAUUCCUUUGGGAGCUAUCUACAUGUAUUACUACUAUAAUACAAGACAAAUCCAUCCAUCAAUCAAUCAAUCAAUCAGUCAAUCAUUCAUAAUUAUUCAAUCAAUCAAUCAAUCAAUCAGUCAAUCAUUCAUAAUUCUUUCUUUCUUUCCUUCCUUCCUUCCUUCCUUCCUUUCUUCCUUCCUUCCUUCCUUCCUUCCUUCCUUCCUUCCUUCCUUCCUUCCUUCCUUCCUUUCUUUCUUUCUUUCUUUCUUUCUUUCUUUCUUUCUUUCUUUCUUUCUUUCUUUCUUUCUUUCUUUCUUUCUUUCUUUCUUUCUUUCUUUCUUUCUUUCUUUUGUUCCUUAAGACCAUUACAUAGAAAUCCAGAAACCAGUGUUCCAAUGAUCUCCUGGUCCAGGAAAACGUCAAAGCCACAAAACAGGACGCCUUUGUUUGAUGUUGAACUGUACCUCACCGUGCACAUAUCUCUCUCCUCCGUAGAGGCCUGCAUGAAGUUUCUAGUGAGGGAAAAGUGAGCGCGCAAGGAGUGAUGGAAACGUGAGAAAACUAAGAAAUUAUUAAAAGUAUCAAACAUUCUUUGUAAAGUUCGUCACCUAAACAAAAAACAUCUCAUAACUCUAUAUCACACUCUUGUUUACCCACAUUUAUAUUACGGUAAUAUACUAUGGGCUAGCAACUAUAAAACAAGAUUAAAGUCAGUAUCAACGAUACAGAAAAAGGUUCUGAAAAUAAUAUCAUUUUUGCUUUAUAUACUUUCUCAUCUUCAACCCUUUUUUCAACGCUAGAAAUACUAAAGAUUAAUGAUCCAAAGAUUGAAUCAUUGAAUAUAAACUAUAAUUAACACAAUAAAAAACACACGUUUUGGUUUUGUUGGAGAAGGGGUGUUUUGGGGGGAAGUACUCUGUGUUUACGCCAAACGACAUCCCUCCUCAUCGUCACAUACCUAAUACUGUACUGAACUGAUAAUGCUAGUCAGGAGUAGCGACCCCCUGACGUAUCUGACCAAGAGCACACUUGGACAGUCCCUAACCAGCCCACUUGGGCAGUCCCUAACCUGUCUAAGGUCCACAGAACCGCUUAGAUAGUCCCAAUUAUUUGAAAUAUAUAUUUAUAUGCGACGUUACUAGAGUCUAUGGGAAAGGAAGUUGACAUAUUGGAAUACUUCUUCCCUGGAACCCAAUGUUUAUUUAUUUAUUUAUUUAUUACCAGUAAAGGAACCAUAACAAUUUUUAUUAUUUACCAUAUUGUAAAACUUGUGUCCAUAGGCACUUUUACACCUCUGAUAGUCUUUCACUUUGGAAAGCUUUUAUUACCAGCGAAGACCAGCCAUA